UACAGAGGGUGCGAGCGUUGUUCGGAAUUAUUGGGCGUAAAGGGCUCGUAGGCGGUUUGUCGCGUCGGGAGUGAAAACUCAGGGCUUAACCCUGAGCCUGCUUCCGAUACGGGCAGACUAGAGGUAUGCAGGGGAGAACGGAAUUCCUGGUGUAGCGGUGAAAUGCGCAGAUAUCGAGAGGAACACCAGUGGCGAAGGCGAGUCCCUGGACAACACCUGACACUGAGGCACGAAAGCUAGGGGAGCAAACAGG
rnacentral:rRNA from 1 species